CCUACGGGUGGCAGCAGUGGGGAAUAUUGCACAAUGGGGGAAACCCUGAUGCAGCGACGCCGCGUGAGUGAAGAAGUAUUUCGGUACGUAAAGCUCUAUCAGCAGGGAAGAAAAUGACGGUACCUGACUAAGAAGCCCCGGCUAACUACGUGCCAGCAGCCGCGGUAAUACGUAGGGGGCAAGCGUUAUCCGGAUUUACUGGGUGUAAAGGGAGCGUAGACGGCAGUGCAAGUCUGGAGUGAAAGGCGGGGGCUCAACCCCCGGACUGCGCUGGAAACUGUACGGCAGGAGUGCAGGAGAGGUGAGUGGAAUGCCUGGUGUAGCGGUGAAAUGCGUAGAUAUUAGGAGGAACACCAGUGGCGAAGGCGGCUUACUGGACUGUAACUGACGUUGAGGCUCGAAAGCGUGGGGAGCAAACAGGAUUAGAUACCCUAGUAGUC
rnacentral:rRNA from 1 species